rnacentral:rRNA from 1 species
GCCUAGCCGUAAACAUAAAGGAAAUUUUAUACGUCCUUCGCCAGGGAACAACGAGCCCCAGCUUAAAACCCAAAGGACUUGGCGGUGCUUUAGACCCACCUAGAGGAGCCUGUUCUAGAAUCGAUAUUCCCCGUUCAACCUCACCCCUUCUUGUUUUUUAACCGCCUAUAUACCGCCGUCGUCAGCUCACCCUGUGAAGGAUGAAUAGUAAGCAAGAUUGGCAAAGCCUAAAACGUCAGGUCAAGGUGUAGCGUACGGAGGGGAAAGAAAUGGGCUACAUUUGCUGACGCAGCAAACACGAACGAUGCACUGAAAUAAGCAUCUGAAGGAGGAUUUAGCAGUAAGGGGGGAAUAGAGCGCUCCCCUGAAGACGGCCCUGAAGCGCGC